GAUCCUGGCUCAGGACGAACGCUGGCGGCAUGCCUAACACAUGCAAGUCGAACGGAGCUGUACAGGCGGAGGCCUUCGGGCGGAAGACGGUACAGCUUAGUGGCGGACGGGCGAGUAACGCGUGAGCAACCUGCCCUUCAGAGGGGGAUAACGGCUGGAAACGGUCGCUAAUACCGCAUAACGCAGCACUUCCGCAUGGAGGAGCUGGCAAAGGAGGAAUCCGCUGAAGGAUGGGCUCGCGUCCGAUUAGCUAGUUGGUGGGGUAACGGCCUACCAAGGCGACGAUCGGUAGCCGAACUGAGAGGUUGAUCGGCCGCAUUGGGACUGAGACACGGCCCAGACUCCUACGGGAGGCAGCAGUGGGGGAUAUUGCACAAUGGGGGAAACCCUGAUGCAGCAAUGCCGCGUGAGGGAAGAAGGUCUUCGGAUUGUAAACCUAAGUUAUCAGGGACGAUGAUGACGGUACCUGAAGAGAAAGCUCCGGCUAACUACGUGCC
rnacentral:rRNA from 1 species